AGAAUACUAAUUGGGUUAAACCAGUUAGUUCUUAUUAAUUAUAACGAUUAUCAAUUAACAAUCAAUUCAGAACUGGCACGGACUUGGGGAAUCCGACUGUCUAAUUAAAACAAAGCAUUGUGAUGGCCCUAGCGGGUGUUGACACAAUGUGAUUUCUGCCCAGUGCUCUGAAUGUCAAAGUGAAGAAAUUCAAGUAAGCGCGGGUCAACGGCGGGAGUAACUAUGACUCUCUUAAACGCGGCCGCGUUCGCAGAUGAUAUUGUCUUAUUUGCGGAAACUCGUUUAGGCCUUCAAACAAUGCUAGACACGACUGUCGAUUUUCUAUCUUCAGUCGGGCUUACCCUUAACUCGGAUAAAUGUUUUACAGUUGGAAUAAAGGGGCAACCGAAACAGAAGUGUACUGUGGUCAUCCCAGAGACCUUCCGUAUCGGUUCGCGCUCGUGUCCUGCAUUGAAGCGCACAGACGAGUGGAAGUAUUUAGGCAUAACAUUCACUGCACAAGGGAGGACCAGGUACAGUCCAGCCGACGACCUAGGUCCGAAGCUGUUGAGGCUGACAAGGUCCCCCCUAAAACCACAACAGAAAUUGUUCGCACUCAGAACAGUUCUUAUCCCACAACUUUACCAUAAGCUGACCCUAGGUAGUGUGAUGAUAGGUGUUCUGAGAAAGUGUGACAUACUGGUACGUUCGACCGUAAGGAAGUGGUUAGGGCUUCCUCUGGACGUGUCAACUGCAUUCUUCCAUGCUCCUCAUACUUAUGGGGGCCUCGGAAUCCCUUCAGUUCGUUGGGUAGCGCCAAUGCUACGUAUGAAAAGAUUGAGCAAUAUUAAGUGGGCCCACCUCGCGCAAUCCGAGGCGGCCAGCUCAUUUCUUACCGACGAAUUGAAUAAGGCCCGGGGUAGAACUCUGGCUGGACUGAAUGAGUUGACAUCGCGUACAGAGAUCGAAACGUACUGGGCGAACAGGUUGUAUAUGUCUGUUGAUGGUCGCGGCUUACGUGAAGCGGGACUUUUUCGUCCCCAACACGGCUGGGUGUGUCAGCCCACGCGUUUGCUAACAGGUCAAGAUUACCGAAACGGUAUCAAGCUGCGAAUAAAUGCCCUACCAUCGAGGUCUCGUACCACGAGGGGCAGAAAUUAAUUGGAACGGCAAUGUCGUGCAGGUUGUGAUGCUCCCGAAACAACAAACCACAUCCUGCAAAAUUGUUACCGUACGCAUGGGAGGCGGGUAGCAAGACAUAACUGUGUAGUCAAUAACCUUAAGAGGAUUCUUGAGGAGAAGGGCCACACAGUACACGUCGAACCAAGUUUGCAGCUGGAAACCUCGGUAAGUAAACCAGACCUGGUGUGUAUCCGUGACAAUCACGCUUGCGUGAUUGAUGCGCAGAUUAUAACGGAUGGACUGUUUCUCGACGAUGUGCACCAUCGCAAAGUUGAGAAAUAUAAAAGACCGGAAGUUAUAUCUGCACUGCGGAGAGAAUUCGGAGUGUCGGGCAACGUCGAAGUCCUAUCCGCGACGUUAAACUGGCGUGGGAUCUGGAGCAAUCAAUCCGUUAGAAGAUUGAUAGCAAAGGGUCUCAUCUCAUCCGGUGACAGCAAUGUCAUUAGCGCCAGAGUGGUAACAGGCGGACUAUAUUGCUUCAGACAGUUCAUGUAUCUCGCAGGUUACACUCGAGAUUGGACUUAGCCUAUACACUAUGUUGGAGAGAAGACGCUUGCUACCUAGGCAAAAUGUGAGAUUAGGUAUAAACAUCGUGUUGUGAGACUUGAGGUGGUUUUUAGUACGUAUGCGUGAUUACUUCGUAAUCAUGAAUCGUGCAUGCUAGUGGGUUGGCUCACUAGUAUCUUGAAGAUUUCGUCUCAGCGAUCACACAAAAAAAAAAAAAAUAGCAAUGCCUCGUCAUCUAUAGUGACGCGCAUGAUGAUACGAGAUCUACUGUCUAUCUACUAUCUAGCGAA
rnacentral:ncRNA from 1 species